rnacentral:rRNA from 1 species
CCUACGGGCGGCAGCAGUGGGGAAUAUUCGACAAUGGGGGCAACCCUGAUCCAGCCAUGCCGCGUGUGUGAAGAAGGCCCUCGGGUUGUAAAGCACUUUCAGUGAGGAAGAACGCCUGGUGGUUAAUACCCAUCAGGAAAGACAUCACUCACAGAAGAAGCACCGGCUAACUCCGUGCCAGCAGCCGCGGUAAUACGGAGGGUGCGAGCGUUAAUCGGAAUUACUGGGCGUAAAGCGCGCGUAGGUGGCUUGAUAAGCCGGUUGUGAAAGCCCCGGGCUCAACCUGGGAACGGCAUCCGGAACUGUCAAGCUAGAGUGCAGGAGAGGAAGGUAGAAUUCCCGGUGUAGCGGUGAAAUGCGUAGAGAUCGGGAGGAAUACCAGUGGCGAAGGCGGCCUUCUGGACUGACACUGACACUGAGGUGCGAAAGCGUGGGUAGCAAACAGGAUUAGAUACCCGAGUAGUC